AUGGGUGCCCCGACGUUGCCCCCUGCCUGGCAGCCCUUUCUCAAGGACCACCGCAUCUCUACAUUCAAGAACUGGCCCUUCUUGGAGGGCUGCGCCUGCACCCCGGAGCGGAGAGGAACAUAAAAAGCAUUCGUCCGGUUGCGCUUUCCUUUCUGUCAAGAAGCAGUUUGAAGAAUUAACCCUUGGUGAAUUUUUGAAACUGGACAGAGAAAGAGCCAAGAACAAAAUUGAGAGAGCUCUGUUAGCAGAAUGAAAAAAUUGGAAGCCAGAUUCAGGGAGGGACUGGAAGCAAAAGAAUUUCUGUUCGAGGAAGAGCCUGAUGUUUGCCAGGGUCUGUUUAACUGGACAUGAAGAGGAAGGCUCUGGACUUUCCUCCAGGAGUUUCAGGAGAAAGGCAAAGGAAACCAACAAUAAGAAGAAAGAAUUUGAGGAAACUGCGGAGAAAGUGCGCCGUGCCAUCGAGCAGCUGGCUGCCAUGGAUUGAGGCCUCUGGCCGGAGCUGCCUGGUCCCAGAGUGGCUGCACCACUUCCAGGGUUUAUUCCCUGGUGCCACCAGCCUUCCUGUGGGCCCCUUAGCAAUGUCUUAGGAAAGGAGAUCAACAUUUUCAAAUUAGAUGUUUCAACUGUGCUCUUGUUUUGUCUUGAAAGUGGCACCAGAGGUGCUUCUGCCUGUGCAGCGGGUGCUGCUGGUAACAGUGGC
rnacentral:misc_RNA from 1 species